AAAGGAAUUGACGGGGGCCCGCACAAGCAGCGGAGCGUGUGGUUUAAUUCGAGGCUACACGAAGAACCUUACCUGGGUUUGACAUGCUGGUAGUAGUGAACUGAAAAGGGAACGACCGCAAGGAGCCAGCACAGGUGCUGCAUGGCUGUCGUCAGCUCGUGCCGUGAGGUGUUCGGUUAAGUCCGCAAACGAGCGCAACCCUCGGCGUUAGUUACAAGUGUCUAACGCAACUGCCCGUGAGAAACGGGAGGAAGGUGGGGAUGACGUCAAGUCAGCAUGGCCUAUAUAUCCAGGGCUACACACACGCUACAAUGGGCGGUACAGCGGGUUGCGAAGCCGCGAGGUGGAGCCAAUCCAGAAAGCCGUUCGUAGUUCGGAUUGCAGGCUGCAACUCGCCUGCAUGAAGUCGGAGUUGCUAGUAACCGCGCGUCAGCUAUAGCGCGGUGAAUACGUUCCCGGGCCUUGUACACACCGCCCGU
rnacentral:rRNA from 1 species